rnacentral:rRNA from 1 species
CUCUUAAAGCCGUUCUCAGUUCGGACUGUAGGCUGCAACUCGCCUACACGAAGCUGGAAUCGCUAGUAAUCGCGGAUCAGCACGCCGCGGUGAAUACGUUCCCGGGCCUUGUACACACCGCCCGUCACACCAUGAGAGUCUGUAACACCCAAAGCCGGUGGGAUAACCUUUAUAGGAGUCAGCCGUCUAAGGUAGGACAGAUGAUUAGGGUGAAGUCGUAACAAGGUAGC